rnacentral:rRNA from 1 species
AUUGAACGCUAGCGGGAUGCUUUACACAUGCAAGUCGAACGGCAGCGCGGACUUCGGUCUGGCGGCGAGUGGCGAACGGGUGAGUAAUGUAUCGGAACGUGCCCAGUAGCGGGGGAUAACUACGCGAAAGCGUAGCUAAUACCGCAUACGCCCUACGGGGGAAAGCAGGGGAUCGUAAGACCUUGCACUAUUGGAGCGGCCGAUAUCGGAUUAGCUAGUUGGUGAGGUAACGGCUCACCAAGGCGACGAUCCGUAGCUGGUUUGAGAGGACGACCAGCCACACUGGGACUGAGACACGGCCCAGACUCCUACGGGAGGCAGCAGUGGGGAAUUUUGGACAAUGGGGGCAACCCUGAUCCAGCCACCCCGCGUGUGCGAUGAAGGCCUUCGGGUUGUAAAGCACUUUUGGCAGGAAAGAAACGUCGCGGGCUAAUACCCCGUGGAACUGACGGUACCUGCAGAAUAAGCACCGGCUAACUACGUG